rnacentral:rRNA from 1 species
CUAGCCUGCCCACUGAUAUUUAUUUUCAAGGGCCGCGGUAUAUUGAGCGUGCGAAGGUAGCAUAAUAAUUUGUCUCUUAAUUGGAGACUUGUAUGAAUGGUUGGACAAAAAAUAAGCUGUCUUUUUUGUAUUAUUUGAAUUUAACGUUUAAGUGAAAAGUCUUAAAUGUAAUAGGGGGACGAUAAGACCCUAUAAAUCUUUAUAUUUUUAAAGUCCUAAGUAGGCAUUAAGUUUAUAUUUGUAUUUAGUUCGGUAAAAAUAUUUUGUUGGGGCGACAUAAGUAUAAUAAGUAACUGCUUAUUAAAUAGAAUUAAUUAUAUUUAUUUUGGUAGCAAUU